GUUCAUGUACCUUUGCGGAGUGCAAUAGGAAGGUCAUCAGAUGGCAGAUCAACAGGUGGAACAGGGGUCUCAGACGAAGGAGAUGAACUGGUCGGGCCAUAAGAUAGAAUGCGACGAGCUUGAGACCGUUGAUAAACCUGCAAAGGAGGGGUAGAAGUGAGAAGAGAUGGAGAGGAUAUAGGAGGGGAUGUGGAAGGAGCAUAAGAGGG
rnacentral:misc_RNA from 1 species